AAAUGGUGGCCCGGCGUUGGUUCCUGUCCUAUGACAGGCGAAGAGGGAAUGCGAUAGGGUCCGAAUCGGCAAGAUUUGGGUCCAAAAUGCAGCCGCCCCCGCGACCGUGACCGGAGAGAUGCCCGAGGCCACUGAUCCCUGACGGGAUCGGGAAGGCGGGGAUCGAAGGGCAAAACCCUGCUCCGCAAGCCGGGAGACCUGCCAGCGCGGACGAUUUUGGA
rnacentral:ncRNA from 23 species